UGAACUUCCUAAAGGGACAGAGAAAGGCUUCAUUUGAGCAGGUACAAGCAGCGGGUCGGUUCUGCUCCUCCUCUGUGUCAUAUUCAGAAGUGUCGAUGGCUAAAGGUUACAUGAAACCCAAUACGUGCUCGGAGCUCAGGAAGUGCCACGGCAGCGCUCAGAGCCGAGGAGCUGAUAAAGAGUGGAAGGGGAAGGUGUGAAAAGGAACAGGCGCUCGUGAACAGCGUGUCCCCUGCCAGACCCAACAGCUGGCACCGCACCGGCACAAACAGGCUGUUCUGUGCCACCAUCCAAGCACAGGCUCACGGACACCAUCCUUUAUUACAGCUCUAAAUAACAUUAAAGCUGCAUAAAGGAAAAACCUGGUGAAUGGCAGGCCAAUGCCAGAAGGCUCCAACACAGACCCGCACAGCCCAAGGUAUCACCUCUGGGAAAACGUAUCUGACAGGAGGAAAACAUUUUUGAUGGCUCAGGAGCCACCAAAGCCAGAGAGGAAUGAGAAUAUGUGAGAGAAACAACACAGCAAACUCCCAAGUGAGGGAAGAAGGAUGGGAAGGACACACUCCAGCAGCUGUGCAGAUUGCCAUGCAGUCUGCAGUGAAGACCACUGAGAGGAAGGCUGUUCACCUACAGCCCAUGAAUGACCAAAGUGGAGAAAAUCCGAGUGUGAAGAGUCCUCUGAGGAAAAAGCAGCAGAGACGAUAUUUGAUGAACUGACCAAAACCUCCAUUCCCCAUCCCUCUGUGUUCUUCAGAGAUGGGAGGCUGAGAAAACAGAAGUGAAGCUGAACCCAGAAAGAAGGGAGGACUGGGAAGAAGAUGCUUUAAGAAUUUAGUUUAUUUUCAGUUACCCUCUUCUGAAUUAAUUGGUAAUAAAUUAAUUCAUUUUCCCCAUGAGAGUAA